rnacentral:lncRNA from 1 species
AUAGCUUUGCAUUGUAUUUGUCACAAAACUAAAGAGUUAUUAAGCUCUUCUUUUUAUAUAGGAAAUUGUAAAGAGUAAAACAAGAAUGUGUUGCUUUCUGAAAUGUUACUUGGAUCAAAAUAAACUUAAACAUAUGGAAUUUAUUCACUCACAGCUUUUAGCACUUGAUUCCAGUUUGUCUGGUAGUUUUACUUUUGUUUUAAGUAUUCAAAAGAGGAGGUACCAGUUUUUCAGUCACAACAGAGAAACAUGCGAGGGGUUAACCCUCUGUGUUCUUUGGCUUCAUUACAGGUAUCUGACCAGAAUUUGUGUCUACUUGUAAAGCUUCCAUAAAGUAUUAAUAAGACUUCAAUUAUGCAUAGACCUUCUAUUUUUCACAAAUAUUGCACAUUUCUCUGUUCGUGACAAACAUAGGACACAGACAGAAUAUUCUGGUCUUCCAUUGACCAUGUCUCCAAUGACUAGUCUCCAAGAAGACAGAUAAGACCAAAAUUUUGCAGCAAACAUACCUGUCCUUUAGAAAUCAAUAAUAUACAGAAUAACUCCCAAAGUGAUCAGAAAGAUUCUUCAAAAGGACCAUUUUUCAUAGAAGCUGAAUCAGUACAGGUGGAGCAGUAACAGUUCAUGGAGCUGCCUUUCACAAACCUUGAAGUAGCUUUCAUCCUGCUGGCUUUUGUCAUUUUCUCCUUGUUUACCCUGGCAUCUAUCUACAGUGAUCCCCAUGACAACAAAGAAGGUUUUGCGAUCGAUCUUGCUGAUAGACUUGUAGUACACAACACUUCAGCUGCACAAGUACCACGCAGAGAGCAGAGAGUAAUCAGUUACGUUAUCAGUAAAAGUCACAAGCACAGAAAUUGCGCUAAGCAACAGUUCUGCUUCGUGUUCAGAGGCACUAUAAAACAGUCAGGCUGGGGAUGUUCUUGUAAUCAAGAGGAAUGCUCCACACAGGAAGGAUACAAGAAAAAGAUCAAAUCCAACAAGAAAAAGGCGCGUACAAGUAUGACUGAAGUGAUUUAGAAAAAGAACUAUUACCCAGGUCCACUGCUGGACAUACCUCUGAAAGAGGUAGCUUUGGAAGCUGGUCACCUGAAGACAGUGAGAAAAAGGAUGUGAGAAAGGAAGGACCUGAUCACCCAUCAGAUGGAAUCCAGACGUGACAAUUAGAGUUAAUGAACCAUGACCCAUGAAGCUGUUUCAGCACCUUUUUACAACCCCACUUCAUGGCCUUAAUAAAACUUCCAAGGCUUUUUUUUUUUUU